rfam:Streptosporangium subroseum strain CGMCC 4.2132 genome assembly, contig: Ga0079903_1084
GCCUCCGUAGCUCAGGGGAUAGAGCACCGCUCUCCUAAAGCGGGUGUCGCAUGUUCGAAUCAUGCCGGGGGCA